rnacentral:rRNA from 1 species
UACAGAGGUCCCAAGCGUUGUUCGGAUUCACUGGGCGUAAAGGGUGCGUAGGCGGUCGGGUAAGUCUGGCGUGAAAUCUCCAAGCCUAACUUGGAAACUGCGUUGGAUACUAUCCGGCUCGAGGAAUGGAGGGGAGACUGGAAUACUUGGUGUAGCAGUGAAAUGCGUAGAUAUCAAGUGGAACACCAGUGGCGAAGGCGGCCUUCUGGACCAGUACUGACGCUCAUGCACGAAAGCGUGGGGAGCAAACAGG